rnacentral:rRNA from 1 species
UACGUAGGGGGCAAGCGUUGUCCGGAAUUAUUGGGCGUAAAGCGCGUGUAGGCGGCUCGGUAAGUCUGCUGUGAAAGUCCAGGGCUCAACCCUGGAAUGCCGGUGGAUACUGUCGAGCUCGAGUCCGGAAGAGGCGAGUGGAAUUCCUGGUGUAGCGGUGAAAUGCGCAGAUAUCAGGAUGAACACCAAUGGCGAAGGCAGCUCGCUGGGACGGUACUGACGCUGAGACGCGAAAGCGUGGGGAGCAAACAGG